rnacentral:rRNA from 1 species
AGAGUUUGAUCAUGGCUCAGAAUUAACGCUGGCGGCGUGCCUAACACAUGCAAGUCGAGCGAGAAAGCCUUUCGGGGUGAGUAAAGCGGCGGACGGGUGAGUAACGCGUGAGAAUCUACCUUUUAGUGAAGGAUACCUUCGAGAAAUUGGAGCUAAUACUGCAUACGUCCUUCGGGAGAAAGAUGGCCUCUCUGCUAUCGCUAAAAGAUGAGCUCGCGGACUAUUAGCUAGUUGGUAGGGUAAUGGCCUACCAAGGCGAUGAUGGUUAGCCGGCCUGAGAGGGUGUACGGCCACACUGGAACUUAGAUACGGUCCAGACUCCUACGGGAGGCAGCAGUGAGGAAUUUUGCGCAAUGGGCGAAAGCCUGACGCAGCGACGCCGCGUGAAGGAUGAAGGUCUUCGGAUUGUAAACUUCUGUUAAGUGGGAAGAAAGCUCUAGUCCUAAUACGACUAGGGAAUGACGGUACCAUUAGAGAAAGCACCGGCUAACUCCGUGCCAGCAGCCGCGGUAAUAC